AGAGUUUGAUCCUGGCUCAGAUUGAACGCUGGCGGUAUGCUUAACACAUGCAAGUCGAACGGUAACAUGAUUAGCUUGCUAAUUGAUGACGAGUGGCGGAAGGGGGAGUAACGCGUAGGGAUCUGCCUAACAAUGGGGGAUAGCCCGGUGAAAACCGGAUUAAUACCGCAUAAGCCCUACGGGGGAACGAGGCCACUUCUUGAAAGCUUCGACCGAUAGAUGAGCCUGCGUAAGAUUAGCUAGUUGGUAGGGUAAUGGCCUACCAAGGCGACGAUCUAUAGCUGGUCUGAGAAGAUGACCAGCCACACUGGGACUGAGACACGGCCCAGACUCCUACGGGAGGCAGCAGUGGGGAAUAUUGCGCAAUGGGGGCAACCCUGACGCAGCAAUGCCGCGUGAGUGAAGAAGGUUUUCGGAUUGUAAAGCUCUUUCAGCAGGGAGGAAAGCCAUUUGAUUAAGAGUUGAGUGGUGUGACGUUAGCUACAGAAGCAGCACCGGCUAACUCUGUGCCAGCAGCCGCGGUAAUACAGAGGUGCAAGCGUUAAUCGGAAUUACUGGGCGUAAAGCGCGCGUAGGUGGUUAGUUAAGCGAGAUGUGAAAGCCCUGGGCUUAACCUGGGAACUGCAUUUCGAACUGAUUGACUAGAGUACAGUAGAGGGUAGUGGAAUUUCCAGUGUAGCGGUGAAAUGCGUAGAUAUUGGAAGGAACAUCAGUGGCGAAGGCGACUGCCUGGACUGAUACUGACACUGAGGUGCGAAAGCGUGGGGAGCAAACGGGAUUAGAUACCCUGGUAGUCCACGCUGUAAACGAUGUCAACCUAGCCGUUGGGAGACUUGAUCUCUUAGUGGCGUAGCUAACGCGAUAAGUUGACCGCCUGGGGAGUACGGCCGCAAGGUUAAAACUCAAAUGAAUUGACGGGGGCCCGCACAAGCGGUGGAGCAUGUGGUUUAAUUCGACGCAACGCGAAGAACCUUACCUGGCCUUGACAUCCCGAGAAUUUGCUAGAGAUAGCUUAGUGCCUGAAAAGGAACUCUGUGACAGUUGCUGCAUGGCUGUCGUCAGCUCGUGUUGUGAAAUGUUGGGUUAAGUCCCGUAACGAGCGCAACCCUUAUCCUUAUUGCCAGCACGUAAUGGUGGGAACUCUAAGGAGACUGCCGGUAAUAAACCGGAGGAAGGUGGGGAUGAGGUCAAGUCAUCAUGGCCCUUAUGGGUAGGGCUACACACGUGCUACAAUGGGCGGUACAAAGAGUCGCCAACCCGCGAGGGGGAGCUAAUCUCAAAAAACCGUUCGUAGUCCGGAUCGGAGUCUGCAACUCGACUCCGUGAAGUCGGAAUCGCUAGUAAUCGCGAAUCAGCAUGUCGCGGUGAAUACGUUCUCAGGCCUUGUACACACUGCCCGUCACACCAUGGAAGUGGGUUGUACCAGAAGUAGGUAGACUAACCGUAAGGGGGUCGCUUACCACGGUAUGAUUCAUGACUGGGGUGAAGUCGUAACAAGGUA
rnacentral:rRNA from 1 species